GACAGAGGAUGCAAGCGUUAUCCGGAAUGAUUGGGCGUAAAGCGUCUGUAGGUGGCUUUUUAAGUCCGCCGUCAAAUCCCAGGGCUCAACCCUGGACAGGCGGUGGAAACUACCAAGCUGGAGUACGGUAGGGGCAGAGGGAAUUUCCGGUGGAGCGGUGAAAUGCGUAGAGAUCAGGAGGAACACCGUUGGCGAAGGCAGAUCUCUGGGCCGUAACUGACGCUGAGGAUCGAAAGCGUGGGGAGCGAACAGG
rnacentral:rRNA from 1 species